GCCUGGCCAGUUCAGUCAGUAGGGCAUGAGACUUCUAAUCUCAGGGUUGUGGGUUCAAGCCCCGUGUUAGGUA
rnacentral:tRNA from 1 species